AUUUCUGUAGUUGAAUUACAACAGUAACUUUUCAUGUUACAAGUUUGGGUUUAAACCCCAACAAAAAUA
rnacentral:tRNA from 2 species